rnacentral:misc_RNA from 1 species
CUACUGAGGCUGUGAGUUAACACACGGCGGGAGGUGAGGAGGGAGGGUGUGAAGUACUAAUCGACCCUUAACACAUCUUUCCCCGUCUUAUUACUGAUCUUCACCGUCUUGUUGUAUGGUCUACCAACCUCUGUCGGCAUAGCCGAGAGAGAGCAGGUUGCUGAGGGAUGUUUAGGAAACCUCGUGACGAUAAACACACGAAAGACCCCUGGCGAAGUCGCGAACACUGCGUCGACUGUGGGGUACUAGGGAACUGGCGGGGAAUACUUGAUGGUGGCCUCUUGUGUGCUGUGGUCGGUCAGAGAAAUGUGAUGGGGCGCACAAGUCGCGUGGUUGUUGUUGGGGGCAAGGAGACUGGCAAGACCUCAAUUCUUGAAAGAGCAAUUUUUGCCAAUUCCACGGUGGAUAAGCAAUACAUCCCAACAGUGGAAGAUACGUAUGUUGGGAUUGUAGAGACAGAGCGCGGCACUCGAGAGAAGCUGCGCUUUUAUGACACGGCUGGCCUGGACACCCGCAACCGUUCCCUUCCCCAACAUUAUCAUGCACUAGCUGAUGGCUACAUCAUCGUGUACUCCAUCAGUGAUUACCUUUCCUUUCAACUAUUAACAGAUAUAAAGAAGGACAUAGACCGACAUCGUGAUAAAAAAGAUGUACCAAUAAUUGUCUUGGGCAACAAGAGUGAUACAGCAGCUACUAACCGUGCAGUCGACACAGCCACGGCAGAGCGGUGGGCCUCUGCAGAAAAAGUACGACUGUGGGAAGUGAACGUUCAAGAUCGUACCCUUCUGCUGGAGCCCAUCAUGAACCUUGCUUCUCGCCUAAAUCCACAGCCAAGCAAAACAUCAUUUCCUCAGCUCACAAUGGGUCGCAAAAACAAAGACUAAUUAGUAGGACUACAGUGCUCAGGGGAGACAGUAACAUCACCUGAGCUUAACAUUACUGUGCGAGAAGAAUGUGUGGCCAUCCGUGUGCACAUCUUGGUCACCUCUGCCAGGUCAAGCUAUGUUUUGUGCACUAAGAGACAGGAUCAUUACUAAGGCCACUGUGAAUUUGUAAAAAAAAGAUGAGUAACGACUAAACCCUUGAGAAAUUAACUGGAUCAUGGAAACACUGCUGUUACAGG